GCAUAACGCGAAGAACCUUACCAAGGCUUGACAUACACGAGAACGGGCCAGAAAUGGUCAACUCUUUGGACACUCGUGAACAGGUGGUGCAUGGUUGUCGUCAGCUCGUGUCGUGAGAUGUUGGGUUAAGUCCCGCAACGAGCGCAACCCUCGUUCUAUGUUGCCAGCACGUAAUGGUGGGAACUCAUGGGAUACUGCCGGGGUCAACUCGGAGGAAGGUGGGGAUGACGUCAAAUCAUCAUGCCCCUUAUGUCUUGGGCUUCACGCAUGCUACAAUGGCCGGUACAAUGGGCUGCGAUACCGUAAGGUGGAGCGAAUCCCAAAAAGCCGGUCCCAGUUCGGAUUGAGGUCUGCAACUCGACCUCAUGAAGUCGGAGUCGCUAGUAAUCGCAGAUCAGCAACGCUGCGGUGAAUACGUUCCCGGGUCUUGUACACACCG
rnacentral:rRNA from 1 species